rnacentral:ribozyme from 14 species
GGCAUUAUUUUUGGUUCUCUUGUCGUUCUGCCGUGAUUUUUUUUUUCUUUUUUUUCUUCUGAAAUUUCCAACUCUCGUCUCAAAACAGUGCGGGAGGUC